rnacentral:rRNA from 1 species
CUUCGCUCACCAAGGUACAUGUGUAAGACCUGGAGGGUGAUCGGCCACACUGGGACUGAACACACAGACUCCUACGGGAGGCAGCAGUAGGAAUUUCGCAAUGGACGAAAGUCUGACGGAGCAACGCCGGUGAGUGAUGAAGGCUUUCGGGUCGUAAAACUCUGUUUUAGGGAAGAACAAGUGCUAGUUGAAUAAGCUGGCACCUUGACGGUACCUAACCAGAAAGCCACGGCUAACUACGUGCCAGCAGCCGCGGUAAUACGUAGGUGGCAAGCGUUAUCCGGAAUUAUUGGGCGUAAAGCGCGCGCAGGUGGUUUCUUAAGUCUGAUGUGAAAGCCCACGGCUCAACCGUGGAGGGUCAUUGGAAACUGGGAGACUUGAGUGCAGAAGAGGAAAGUGGAAUUCCAUGUGUAGCGGUGAAAUGCGUAGAGAUAUGGAGGAACACCAGUGGCGAAGGCGACUUUCUGGUCUGUAACUGACACUGAGGCGCGAAAGCGUGGGGAGCAAACAGGAUUAGAUACCCUGGUAGUCCACGCCGUAAACGAUGAGUGUAAGUGUUAGAGGGUUUCCGCCCUUUAGUGCUGAAGUUUAU